rnacentral:SRP_RNA from 1 species
CCGUGCUAGACGGGGAGGUAGCGGUGCCCUGUACCUGCAACCCGCUAUAGCAGGGUUGAAUUCCUGCCCCCGGCUCUGGAUCUUGGGGUCUGACCCAGGUAAGUGGUGUCGACGACCGGGUCCUGUGCGGCGUAAGCUUGUGAACCCCGUCAGGUCCGGAAGGAAGCAGCGGUAAGCAAGUCCUUGCGGGUGCCACGGGAUAGCCUGGUCUGAGCUAACUGCCGGGGUAACGCCUGGGAGAAAGAGUCAAAGGCAGGUGCGCGG